GCCUUUGUGGUUAACUGGAAAGCAGCCCGGCUAGCAAUCAGAAGAUUCAGAGUUCGAAUCCCUGCAAGAGCA
rnacentral:tRNA from 1 species